rnacentral:rRNA from 1 species
AUGAAGGCCCUAGGGUUGUAAAGCCUCUUUUGUGCGGGAAGAUAAUGACGGUACCGCAAGAAUAAGCCCCGGCUAACUUCGUGCCAGCAGCCGCGGUAAU